UAGACGUGCAUUGUCAUGACAAAUCCUAUCAGCCCGCCGCGUGUGUAAGAAGGCCUCGGAUUGUAAGCCCUUUAGUUGGGAAGAACGACAGUCAGUUCAUACCCUGCUGUGCUGACCUUACCCACCGAAUAAGCCCCCGCCAACCUUCCUGCCCGCCGCCGCGGGGUAAUAAAAAA
rnacentral:rRNA from 1 species